UACGUAGGUGGCGAGCGUUAUCCGGAAUCAUUGGGCGUAAAGAGGGAGCAGGCGGCGAUACAGGUCUGUGGUGAAAUUCCGAAGCUAAACUUCGGCCAGCCAAAGAAACCGGAUCGCUAGAGUGCGGAAGAGGAUCGUGGAAUUCCAUGUGUAGCGGUGAAAUGCGUAGAUAUAUGGAGGAACACCAGUGGCGAAGGCGACGGUCUGGGCCGCAACUGACGCUCAUUCCCGAAAGCGUGGGGAGCAAAUA
rnacentral:rRNA from 1 species